GAUGAAGAACGUAGCGAAAUGCGAUAAGUAAUGUGAAUUGCAGAAUUCCGUGAAUCAUCGAAUUUUUGAACGCAUAUUGCGCCCUCUGGUAUUCCGGAGGGCAUGCCUGUCCGAGCGUCAUUGCUGCCCUCAAGCCCGGCUUGUGUGUUGGGUCUCGUCCCCCUUCCCGGGGGGACGGGCCCGAAAGGCAGCGGCGGCACCGCGUCCGGUCCUCGAGCGUAUGGGGCUUUGUCACCCGCUCUGUAGGCCCGGCCGGCGCUUGCCGAUCAACCAAAACUUUUUUCCAGGUUGACCUCGGAUCAGGUAGGGAUACCCGCUGAACUUAAGCAUAUCAAUAAGCGGAGGA
rnacentral:misc_RNA from 1 species